rnacentral:piRNA from 1 species
GACGAUAGCAGUGAAUUUUGGACA